GACGAACGCUGGCGGCGUGCCUAAUACAUGCAAGUAGAACGCUGAAGGAGGAGCUUGCUCUUCUGGAUGAGUUGCGAACGGGUGAGUAACGCGUAGGUAACCUGCCUGGUAGCGGGGGAUAACUAUUGGAAACGAUAGCUAAUACCGCAUAACAGUAGAUGUUGCAUGACAUUUGCUUAAAAGGUGCAAUUGCAUCACUACCAGAUGGACCUGCGUUGUAUUAGCUAGUUGGUGGGGUAACGGCUCACCAAGGCGACGAUACAUAGCCGACCUGAGAGGGUGAUCGGCCACACUGGGACUGAGACACGGCCCAGACUCCUACGGGAGGCAGCAGUAGGGAAUCUUCGGCAAUGGACGGAAGUAUGACCGAGCAACGCCGCGUGAGUGAAGAAGGGUUUCGGAUCGUAAAGCUCUGUUGUAAGAGAAGAACGAGUGUGAGAGUGGAAAGUUCACACUGUGACGGUAUCUUACCAGAAAGGGACGGCUAACUACGUG
rnacentral:rRNA from 1 species